AUGGGGAUCAUUAAAUUCCCAAAAUGGGCCAUUAAGCUUAUUAAUUUUCAACUAGCUUACUGUUUUUGGGAUGAUUAUGAGGGUCAUCAUAAAUACCAUCUUGCUGUCUGGGGGAAUGUGACCCUACAAAAGCAACAUGGGGGGUUGGGCAUCCCUAAUAUUGCUGACAUGAAUCUCUGCCUCUUAGCUUCCUGGAUUAAAAGAUAUUUCCUGGACGAGGGCAAGGUUUGGAAACAAAUUAUAGAUGCCAAGUAUAGAACGCAAAGCCCUAAUAUUUUUACUUGCCCCAACAAUGGUGCUUCCUCUUUUUGGAAAGGGAUAUUUUGGGCUGCUAAAGCCUCUAGUAUAUGUUAUUCCUGA
rnacentral:rRNA from 1 species